AUGACUCUCCCUGCAGCUCCGCUGUCCCCUCACUUCCCACACUUCUCUAGAUACAAGUUCAGCUGCUCCUCGUGCAAAGCAGCCACGGAAAGCUCAGCCUUGAGAAUAGAAUGUGAAAGCAGGUCUCGAUCGGUUGAAACCUCGUUCCGGAGGCAUUCUUCGCAGUCCGCGGCCAGAAUGGAUUUCGGAUGUAGAUCCGCAAAGCGGCGAGCUUCUGCCAGCCUCCGCGACUGGGCCGAACGCAGGCUUAUAGCCUUUCUGCCCAGGCGGGAAUCUCCUUUCCGCAGUGGAAACAACUCCUGGAAAACACAAAAUCGAGCGAGAAGAAAGCAGCGAUGCCCGCCCGCGCCGGGGCGCUGGGAGAGCUCCCUCUCCGGGAAGCGAAGCGCGUCGCACGCCCAGGCUCACGGCGGGGUGGGGUGGGGGCAGGAUGGGCCUUGCUCGGGUCGGGGUUGGGGGGACAUGAGCAUUCCCGGGCGCCCACCGCAGUCCAGGCUGCUCCGCGGGGCGCUCACUGCAUCACCCAGAAAUGGCCCAGAGGUGUCUCCGGAGAGCACGGAGCACCGGGUUUCUCCGCCCAGGGGGCCGUAGUCUCCAUGUCAGAGGCGGGGGGAGAGAGCCCCACAGUGGAUUUUUCCCUUCUUGCGCCCGCCUGGCCGAAUGCGCACGCGGGGCGGUGGGGGAGGGGGCCUGUGUGCGGUGGGGGGAGGAGGUAGGGGCGCCGGCCUUUGCUCGCUGGGGUGUGACCCGGUCUCUUCCUUCCAGAAUUGUCAGCCUCUGUCGGGGGCGCGGCUCCUCUACCCCUCUCCCAACUCCCCUCCCCACCUCGUCGUGACAGCAGGUUCGGUGAGGGGAUCCCUCGCUGUGAGACCCCCAGGAGGCCCUAGGCAGGUUUCCUCCGAGGGUUUCCCUCUCCCUUGCUCAUCUGAGUAAGCAGCGAACUCCUGGGCAAGCGUGGUUUGAGGGGUGAUUUCUAGUGACCGGCCGGGUGCCCCACCACGUCCCAGGAGGGAGGGAGGGGGCGCUGUGCGUCGGCGCCGGCCCUGCCCCAGGAGGCAGGGAGGGUCUACACUCUUGCCCUCUGGCUCAGAGCAGACCCCUGGGGAUACUCCCGGGCCGCGCUCCUGCUUUCCGGCGAGGAGCGGACUCCGAACCAGUGGAGACUCUUGUCUCGACAACGAGGGCUCAGGAGUCAGAGCCCGGGUCAGUGAGGCAGACUUCAUGGCUGCGAACUCUUCCUCCGAGGUGAAAGCCUGUCCCCCCAGUUCCCGGGGCACCCUCGAGGAGGCGAAGUGCGCGGAGCGGGGCCCCCGCCGCAGCGUCCAGCACCCCUGGAGCGCGGGCCCCAGGGCUCGGGCGUGGCGAGGGCCGGCUCCGGGCGCGGAUUUGUGAAUGAACCGCUGAGCUCUUUGCAGCUCACAGAUCAGAGGGCUGCGAUCGCCCCACCGACGUGGUCCAAUGAGCCGCUGCAAUAAGCGCUUAGCGACAAAGCAGGGGCCCGGCCCGGCCUGGCGGUUCCGCGCUGCGCCGGGCGGGGACGCGGGAGGGGGCCGAGCCAAGGCAGUGACUUCAAAGCCGCUCGUCCAGACACAGUGAAAGGGUGGCACUCCCAGGGUGGCAAGGUCUGAAACCGCAUUCCCCCACCCCCACCCCACCAGAACGCCCACAGGCGGUCCUAACCGAGUGACCCUGAGCUUCCGGCCGCCUCCGACCCUCCCCGAGCGCGUCCUGCAUGUCCCAAGGACCCCGGACGAUCACCUCGCCCUAGCCCCGUGACGUCCCCGCGUGGGUCUCCACGGCCGCGCGGGUCUAGCCAGACUUGCUUCCCUAAGCACCGUGCUGUUCAAAAACUCCCCCACUGUCCCCUCCCCCACUUUAAAAUUAAAGUCUUUUCGCUGCUUCCCUCACGUUCCCGUUGUUUGCGGGGGGCGGGGAGCAGGCACCCACGUGGGCCGUGCACGGCGUCUCCCCCCGGGUGGCGGAGCCGGGGAGGCCCCUCUGGGGAGAACCGGUCCGCAGAGCCGCCCGCCCCUCCCCGGCCCGCAGGUCUCCGCUGCGUUCGAGAAGUGCGCACCUUGAAGAAAUGUGAUCUCCUUCUGCGUCGCGCCUUCCUGCGCCUCCCCCACCCUCGUUUUAAACGCGUGCGCUCUUUUUCUGGAGAGCCUCAGGAAGGAGGGGAGCUGGGCGCGCAGGGAGGCUGCUGGAAGGGAAGGAGAGAGAGGUCAGAGGUUAGGAGGGAUUGCGGCUCAGUGACCCCUCUCAUCCUCAGCGGCCCAGGAGGGAAUCGCUGAAGCAGGGGAUCUUUUAAAAAACCGAACUCAGGGGGAGGCCGUUGGUCCAAUGAAGACGCGCGGAAGUGUCUACAUGGUGUAAAGGUCCGAAAUGGAAGACACAGCAGAAGAGGACAGGAUCUAGGGGAUGCAUGGCUAAGCGAGAAGAGGACCUAGGAGAAAAGAGGGGCAGCGUUCCGCCUCUGAUGGCUCUGUGGCCCACGGUGGCGAGCAACCCCCCCACCCCCCCACCCCCCCGCAGUCUCCCUGCCGCAGGCGCAGGGGCUGCUCUCUUUCUCUUGCCCGGGGUCAGCGCGACUCAGCUUCCACCCGCCCAUUCCCAUUCCGGUGGGGCUGCGCCCUGCCUAUCCAGGCCUCAGCCUCCACCCCCUCCUACCCGCUUGGAAAGACACUCUCAAGCCCCCCUCUGCUUCCCCCUCCCCAGAUUCCCGAGAAUAAAUGCCCUGAGUGGGGGGUGAACUGCCUCCA
rnacentral:lncRNA from 1 species